rnacentral:lncRNA from 1 species
AUUCGAGACCUUCUGGGUGGGAAGGAGGCAGCCAUGUGGUGAUCUGGGGAAGAGUGCUGCAAGCAGAAAGGCAAGUAAAAACAAAAGCCCUGAGGCAGAAAUGUGCUCCUUAUGCUUAAGAAACACCGUGAAGGCCAACGUGGUUGGAGCAAUGUGAGCAAGAAGAAUAGAGGGGCCUUGGGAACAUAGGUAGCUGAGUCCUCAUGGAUCAAGCCAGCAGGUUCUCUUCAACACCCCAGCCCUGGAGAGCCGCAGAUUGGACAACGGGCAGACUUUGUUGAACAGAUGAACAACUGUGGCUAAAUCUGUUUUGGAAAAAAAAAAAAAAAAGACCUGAAGCAAUUGAUAAACAAGAGGCUGAGGUCAGUGUGAAGGAAGAAUAAAUGAGGCCAGAUUGGAGAACGUUGAAAAGUGAUGUCUGCUGGGACAAUGGCGCACAAGCAGAGGAGAUAUUCAUCAGCUGUACAUCUGCUGUUCCUUGCUGCCCCACAAGCCCAGAAUUCUGGUUGUCUUACAAUGUUCGGAGGUUCAGUGACAUGUGUGUUUCAUCUUUGAUUGAAGGAGACAUGUGGUGAAGACUUGAAUCUGACCUGCAUCCUGGAGCCAAGUCCAGCUGAAUUCAGCUGAACCCAACCAAGUCUUAAGGAGCCCAGAUGAGAUGAGCUGAAUCUCAGUUCAUAUACAGACCCAUAAGGGAGAAAAAUAAAUGACUACCAUAAGCCACUGAUAAGUUGGGAUUAUCUGUUACAUAAUAUUAUUAUUGCAGCAAGCAAUAGCUGACUAACUCAACAUGAUUUCCUCAUGGAUUUGUGGUGUUACCAUGAUCACAUAUCAGAUUCUCUUAUGUAAAUGGGUUGUUUCUGAGUUCUCUAUUCUGUUUCAUGGUUCUGUAUGUCUGCUACUAUAAAAAAUGACCGACUUAUAAAGAAAUUUAGUCUUCCAUGUGCAUUUUAGAAUACGUUUAAAUUCCCCAAAUCUUGCUACAAGUUUGGUUUGCAUUGAAUUUAUAAACACAUUUAGAGAUAAUUGAGAUCUUAAUAACGUUACAUCAUCUUAUCCAUAAA